rnacentral:rRNA from 1 species
GAUGAACGCUGGCGGCGUGCCUAAUACAUGCAAGUCGAGCGAAUGGAUUGAGGGCUUGCUCUUAUGGAGUUAGCGGCGGACGGGUGAGUAACACGUGGGUAACCUGCCCAUAAGACUGGGAUAACUCCGGGAAACCGGGGCUAAUACCGGAUAACAUUUUGAACCGCAUGGUUCGAAAUAGAAAGGCGGCUUCGGCUGUCACUUAUGGAUGGACCCGCGUCGCAUUAGCUAGUUGGUGAGGUAACGGCGCACCAAGGCAACGAUGCGUAGCCGACCUGGGAGGGUGAUCGGCCACACUGGGACUGAGACACGGCCCAGACUCCUACGGGAGGCAGCAGUAGGGAAUCUUCCGCAAUGGACGAAAGUCUGACGGAGCAACGCCGCGUGAGUGAUGAAGGCUUUCGGGUCGUAAAACUCUGUUGUUAGGGAAGAACAAGUGCUAGUUGAAUAAGCUGGCACCUUGACGGUACCUAACCAGAAAGCCACGGCUAACUACGUGCCAGCCGCCGCCGUAA